rnacentral:rRNA from 1 species
GAUGAACGCUGGCGGCGUGCCUAAUACAUGCAAGUCGAGCGAAUGGAUUAAGAGCUUGCUCUUAUGAAGUUAGCGGCGGACGGGUGAGUAACACGUGAGUAACCUGCCCUUGACUCUGGGAUAACUGCGGGAAACUGUAGCUAAUACCGGAUACGACCCUCGGCGGCAUCGCCAGGGGGUGGAAAGAAUUUCGGUCAAGGAUGGACUCGCGGCCUAUCAGCUAGUUGGUGAGGUAACGGCUCACCAAGGGGACGACGGGUAGCCGGCCUGAGAGGGUGACCGGCCACACUGGGACUGAGACACGGCCCAGACUCCUACGGGAGGCAGCAGUGGGGAAUUUUGGACAAUGGGGGCAACCCUGAUCCAGCAAUGCCGCGUGAGUGAAGAAGGCCUUCGGGUUGUAAAGCUCUUUUGUCAGGGAAGAAACACCGGCUCUAACACAGUCCGGGAAUGACGGUACCUGAAGAAUAAGCACCGGCUAAC